UGGGGAAUUUUGGACAAUGGGCGCAAGCCUGAUCCAGCAAUGCCGCGUGCAGGAUGAAGGCCUUCGGGUUGUAAACUGCUUUUGUACGGAACGAAAAGCUUCUGGUUAAUACCUGGGAGUCAUGACGGUACCGUAAGAAUAAGCACCGGCUAACUACGUGCCAGCAGCCGCGGUAAUACGUAGGGUGCGAGCGUUAAUCGGAAUUACUGGGCGUAAAGCGUGCGCAGGCGGUUUUGUAAGACGGAGGUGAAAUCCCCGGGCUCAACCUGGGAAUUGCCUUUGUGACUGCAAGGCUUGAGUGCGGCAGAGGGGGAUGGAAUUCCGCGUGUAGCAGUGAAAUGCGUAGAUAUGCGGAGGAACACCGAUGGCGAAGGCAAUCCCCUGGGCCUGCACUGACGCUCAUGCACGAAAGCGUGGGGAGCAAACA
rnacentral:rRNA from 1 species